rnacentral:rRNA from 1 species
GACGUAGGGCGCGAGCGUUGUCCGGAUUUAUUGGGCGUAAAGAGCUCGUAGGCGGCUUGUCGCGUCGACUGUGAAAACCCGCGGCUCAACCGCGGGCCUGCAUUCGAUACGGGCAGGCUAGAGUUCGGUAGGGGAGACUGGAAUUCAUGGUGUAGCAGUGAAAUGCGUAGAGAUCAUGAGGAAGACCAGUGGCGAAGGCGGGUCUCUGGACAGUUCCUGACACUGAGACACGAAGGCCAGGGGAGCAAACGGG